CUCGGGGGCGCCGGGGCGCCGCGCACCGUCCCCGACCGCGGUGCGGCGUCCGCUGGGGGCAGCGCGGGGCAGGGGCCGGGCCGCCUCGAGGCUUGGUUCCGCGGACGAAGGGGUGUGGAUAGCCCUGAGUCUGAGUCUCGGUUUUCCCAGUUGUACCAGGAGGCGUUCAAGCGGCGGUAGAGUUAUCUGGAGAAAGUUGUGGAAUCAAACAUUUAAGAGAAGUACAUACAUCCUAAGUGCGCAGGUUCAAGAAUUUUUUUCACCUGAACACCUGUUGCAACCACCAUUCAGUCAAGAAACAACAUGGCCAGCAGCCCAGAAACCAACCGGUGUGGUCCUGGGUCACAGCUCCCUCCUAAGGUUUUAGAUACAGCCAUGGUGCUGCUGUGACUUCUUUACCAGUAUCCUCCAGCACAAGGGCACGCAUUCUUCAGUAAUUGAAAUUAACGAAAGUUGGAACGUCGUCGUCUCGGUUCUGGGAGGAGGGGUGGUAUCUCACUGAAAUUUGAAUUUCCAUUUCCCAUGUCCUGAUGGGUUGAGCACCUUUUCAUGUUUAUGGGCCAGCUGGAUUUCCUUUUUGUGAAAUGUUUGUUCAGAUUUGUUGCCAUUUUGUUUCUGGAUAGUCUUUUGUUCAUUGAAUAUAUUCUAUAUACUAUAUUCCUCUAUAUUCCUCCACUGUGUAAUUGCCUUUACACCAUCAUAAUAAUGCCUUUGGAUAAACAGGUGUUCUUCAUUUUAGCAUAGUCUAACCUAUCAAUAUUUGCCUUUUUGUUAGCACUUUGUCCUGUUUAGGACAUCUUUCCUACUCCUAGAUUAUCAAGGUAUUUUCCUGUGUUAUCUUCCCUCCUUAGACUCUCAUGUUUAGGCUUUCAAUCCACUUGGAAUCAACUUUGAACAUGGUAUGAGGCCAAGUUUCAUUGUCCGUCAAAUUGUCCUAGCAUGAUUAAUUUUUCACUUACAUCAACAACACAAUUGCUUUAUUUCGAAAAGUAAUGGAAGGGCGCCUGGGUGGCUCAGUUGGUUAAGCGACUGCCUUCGGCUCAGGUCAUGAUCCCGGAGUCCUGGGAUCGAGUCCCACAUCAGGCUCCCGGCUCAGCGGGGAGCCUGCUUCUCCCUCUGACCCUAUCCCCUCUCAUGCUGUUUCUCUCUCUCUGUCAAAUAAAUAAACAAAAUCUUAAAAAAAAAAAAGUAAU